GCCUUUUGGCUGAAAUAAAAUAUACUAUUUGCUAUUAUCAUUUUAAUAUAUGAUAUAUGGACCAUAUGUUCAAAUAUUUUUUUAUAGGUAUCGAAUAUGAUUGUACCUAAAUAUAAUGAUCGAGUAGUACGCAUGAUGGAGUAACGAUGGUCAAUCUUUUCCCGUGACUAGCAGUUUGGAACCCUGGUCCGGACUGGAAUUAAUAUUAAUUGCCUCUCCAAAUCCAACAAGGCAUGCAAAAAAAAGUGUAUCGCAUGUGGAAAAACCUAGGUUAAAACAAAUACGACCUCGUCGACGACAGGUUUAGUGGCUGCUGCUGGUGCGUAUUAUUGGUUCGGCGACUGGGACGUACGCGUCGUGGGGUUGAAUCGGAGUCAUUAGAGCAUCAUAUAUAUGCCAAUUAAAACAUCAGCAUGAAUAU
rnacentral:lncRNA from 7 species